UCUAAUUAAACAAACGUAUAAACUUUGCUAUGCCAUUCUUACUAAAACUUGAUAAACAUGGUUCUCUCACCUCCAUAAAUUUAGGUAACUCUUCGACACAUACAUCUAGCUUAUAAACAUGACCACUAUGUCAUAUCCUUGUCAUGUGAGACUUAUUUAAUUUUUGCAAUUCACACUAAAGUCUCUAUUUAUCUCAACAUCAUUUCCACAAGAGGUGUAAACAAGAAGAUGAAACAAGAUGAGAACUUGAACGAAAAUGAAUCAUCAUCCAUUUCGAUUUGAAGUUUCAUAUCUUAAAGCUCAUGUGUUUUUUUCUUUCCUUUUUUUUUUUUUAUUUGCAUUUUCACAUUCAGAUCAAUAAUUUCGAAUAUGAUGAUAAUUUCUUCACAAAUUUUGAUCUGAUGAUGAUUGGUAAUAUAUGAUCCUUCACAAUUUUUUUUCUUCUUCUUCUUCUUCUUCUUCUAUAUAUGUUCGUUUGCAAGUGUUACUGGCACCCACUAACCAUCAUCCAUGGUGUAUAGGCUUUAUUCUUCUCUUUGAUGGAUAUUCAUUGCCUUCAAGAGUGUUGAUAAUCAUCUGAUUCACGUUCAGCUUGAUCUGAAACUUCUUAACCAUGUAUUUUUUCAAAUCUGAGAGCUGCCUUGAUCUGCUCAGUGCGAAAAGAUUGAAAAUUUUGUAGUAACUGGAAAAAAAAUUGAAACCAACAAAAUUCUUCGACGAGGACCACAAGAAGCCACAACCAAGCAGGUUCUUUGGAAGUGGAAAGUUCCUUUAGAAGAGUACAAAUAAACAAGAAGCAAGGAAGUUUGAUAACACUGGUAAUUAGAAUUAAAGAAACGAAAGAAUGAAUCAAGAAUCAAUACCCUAACCCAGAAUCAAUGUGAUUCUGAUUAGGUUUUAGUAUGGAACUUUAUUGAAUUGAAUAGAGUGGAAGGGAUGAAGGAAUUACAGAGGAUCCCGCGACCCUGUUCUGGUUCCACAACCAGUGAUAACUUUCCCAAUCUCUAACUACUCUCAAUUAGAACUAACAUUCUAUUUAUAGUAUUCCUAACUGCUAACUGUUUUUGUACAGCUGUCGGAGAAUUACAAUUAGGAAGGUUUCAACCAAACCUUCCUAUUCCCUCUUCUAUAUACAUUUUUAAUAAUAGGCUUUGGCCUAAUCGUAUCAAUACCCUCCCCUAAAAGAAAUAACUUGUCCUCAAGUGGAAAAUCUGGGAAGUUUUCUUGUAUUGUAGCAGCCAAUUCCCAAGUGCAUUCAUGUAGAGGAAGAUUCUUCCAUUUUACCAAGACUUCAACAUGACCUUGAUUAACUUCUCUACUGUUAGUAAUGUCUUCUGGUUGUACUUGUAACUCCAAUUCUUCAUUCAGCAUAGGGGGUAAAGGUUGAGGUUGUUGAUGAGGUUUCAGAGCCUUCUUUAAUAAGGACACAUGGAAAACAGGGUGAAUUUUAGAAUGGGUAGGUAGAGCUAACUUGUAGGCGACAGUACCCACCCUUGUGACCACCUGGUAUGGACCAUAAAAUCUAGGAGCAAGCUUAGCAUAAGGUCUUGAAGCUAAAGACUUCAAUUUAUAUGGUUGUAGUUUGAGAUAAACCCAAUCCUCCACUUGAAAUUCUACUGCCCUUCUAUGCUUGUCAACCUGUUAUUUCAUUUGAUUUUGAGCUUUAGUUAAGUUGGCUUCCAAUUCUUCUAUUAUAGCAUCUCUAUGGAGAAACAUCUGAUUUACUUCUUCCACUUUAGAAGGAACAACACCUGCUUUCAACAGUGUAGGAGAAUCCCUACCAUACAAAGCUCUAAAAGGAGUCAUUCCCGCAGAACUGUUGUAAUUUGAAUUGAAACAAAACUCUGCCCAAUGUAUCCAAUCUAACCAUUGCUUUGGUUUAGGCCCUACAAAGCAUCUAAGGUAUGUCUCCACACAUCUAUUAGCCACUUCAGUUUGGCCAUCUGACUGUGGGUGAUAAGAAGUGCUCAACUUCAGUUGGGUACCAGCCAUUUUAAACAAUUCUUUCCAAAACUGGUUGAGAAAUAAAGGAUCCCUGUCAGGAACUAUA